AGCAAUUGGAGGGCAAGUCUGGUGCCAGCAGCCGCGGUAAUUCCAGCUCCAAUAGCGUAUAUUAAACUUGUUGCAGUUAAAAGGUUCGUAGUUGAAUUUUAGCGUGUUCGAGUUUGCCAUUCGUUUGGCUUUUUUGAGUUCGCUUUUGGGUUUUCCCUUUUUACUUUGAGAAAAUUAGAGUGCUUCAAGCAGACUUUUGUCUUGAAUACUUCAGCAUGGAAUAAUAGAGUAGGACUUUGGUUCUAUUUUGUUGGUUAUUGAACCUUAGUAAUGGUUAAUAGGAACGGUUGGGGGCAUUCGUAUUUAACUGUCAGAGGUGAAAUUCUUAGAUUUGUUAAAGACGAACUACUGCGAAAGCAUUGCCAAGG
rnacentral:rRNA from 1 species